rnacentral:lncRNA from 1 species
CUUUUUUUGUAUAUAAAUUACGAUCAAACUUUGAGGUGAACUAGAGAUAAAAAAAUUAAAUACGAGUCUCAAUGAUCUAUAGGAGUUAACGUUUCAUGCAAAACAAAUACAAGACGAUGUAUUGAAGGAGAUACUCACACUUGACGCCAAACCAUAAUAUCUCCACCAUUUCGUCUGUGAAAGUUCCGAUAAAAAGUGUUCAAGAAGAAUGUACCAGUGGUAAGCUACAAUGAUGUCAAGCCUUUAUAUUGAGCGUAUAGCGAAUGGAGGAGAGCCUUCAAAUGUCAUUUCCGGGAAACCUAUUACUGGAUUUUUCUUGAGGUAUAUACAUUGUCAAAUUCUAGAGACCAACUAGUUAAACAUUUUCUCAAAACAUACAAAAAAAAAACUAGUUAUUAUUCAUAUAAACUCACAUGUGAUUUUAUUAUUGGUGCAUGGGUAUAGCUUUGGAACUUCUGGUGGGAAACAAAAGAUCUUCCAAGGAAACCGAUAUGUCCAAAUGGAGGAUCGAUCAGUCUAUCCAGUUUCGCUCUUUGUUUCAGCUUUUCUUGUUGUUUCUUGACCCGAAGAAGCCUGAAACCAUCCAAUCUCGGCAAAAGUAUCUAAAACUUGUACAAGACUCAAGACGCAACCAAAAAGACCCAAAAUAUUGACUUUGACAUGACAACAAACUCAAAAGACCCAAAAGAUAGACUUUGACAUGACAACAUACUCCAAAUUAUUUUCUAGGAAACUAAUUAUUUUUUCAACUUCAAAUAAUUUUUAAAAUCUUUUU